rnacentral:rRNA from 1 species
ACUAAGCGUACACGGUGGAUGCCCUGGCAGUCAGAGGCGAUGAAGGACGUGCUAAUCUGCGAUAAGCGUCGGUAAGGUGAUAUGAACCGUUAUAACCGGCGAUUUCCGAAUGGGGAAACCCAGUGUGAUUCGUCACACUAUCAUUAACUGAAUCCAUAGGUUAAUGAGGCGAACCGGGGGAACUGAAACAUCUAAGUACCCCGAGGAAAAGAAAUCAACCGAGAUUCCCCCAGUAGCGGCGAGCGAACGGGGAGCAGCCCAGAGCCUGAAUCAGUGUGUGUGUUAGUGGAAGCGUCUGGAAAGGCGUGCGAUACAGGGUGACAGCCCCGUACACAAAAAUGCACAUAUUGUGAGCUCGAUGAGUAGGGCGGGACACGUGGUAUCCUGUCUGAAUAUGGGGGGACCAUCCUCCAAGGCUAAAUACUCCUGACUGACCGAUAGUGAACCAGUACCGUGAGGGAAAGGCGAAAAGAACCCCGGCGAGGGGAGUGAAAAAGAACCUGAAACCGUGUACGUACAAGCAGUGGGAGCACGCUUAGGCGUGUGACUGCGUACCUUUUGUAUAAUGGGUCAGCGACUUAUAUUCUGUAGCAAGGUUAACCGAAUAGGGGAGCCGAAGGGAAACCGAGUCUUAACUGGGCGUUAAGUUGCAGGGUAUAGACCCGAAACCCGGUGAUCUAGCCAUGGGCAGGUUGAAGGUUGGGUAACACUAACUGGAGGACCGAACCGACUAAUGUUGAAAAAUUAGCGGAUGACUUGUGGCUGGGGGUGAAAGGCCAAUCAAACCGGGAGAUAGCUGGUUCUCCCCGAAAGCUAUUUAGGUAGCGCCUCGUGAAUUCAUCUCCGGGGGUAGAGCACUGUUUCGGCAAGGGGGUCAUCCCGACUUACCAACCCGAUGCAAACUGCGAAUACCGGAGAAUGUUAUCACGGGAGACACACGGCGGGUGCUAACGUCCGUCGUGAAGAGGGAAACAACCCAGACCGCCAGCUAAGGUCCCAAAGUCAUGGUUAAGUGGGAAACGAUGUGGGAAGGCCCAGACAGCCAGGAUGUUGGCUUAGAAGCAGCCAUCAUUUAAAGAAAGCGUAAUAGCUCACUGGUCGAGUCGGCCUGCGCGGAAGAUGUAACGGGGCUAAACCAUGCACCGAAGCUGCGGCAGCGACACUAUGUGUUGUUGGGUAGGGGAGCGUUCUGUAAGCCUGUGAAGGUGUACUGUGAGGUAUGCUGGAGGUAUCAGAAGUGCGAAUGCUGACAUAAGUAACGAUAAAGCGGGUGAAAAGCCCGCUCGCCGGAAGACCAAGGGUUCCUGUCCAACGUUAAUCGGGGCAGGGUGAGUCGACUCCUAAGGCGAGGCCGAAAGGCGUAGUCGAUGGGAAACAGGUUAAUAUUCCUGUACUUGGUGUUACUGCGAAGGGGGGACGGAGAAGGCUAUGUUGGCCGGGCGACGGUUGUCCCGGUUUAAGCGUGUAGGCUGGUUUUCCAGGCAAAUCCGGAAAACUAAGGCUGAGGCGUGAUGACGAGGCACUACGGUGCUGAAGCAACAAAUGCCCUGCUUCCAGGAAAAGCCUCUAAGCAUCAGGUAACAUCAAAUCGUACCCCAAACCGACACAGGUGGUCAGGUAGAGAAUACCAAGGCGCUUGAGAGAACUCGGGUGAAGGAACUAGGCAAAAUGGUGCCGUAACUUCGGGAGAAGGCACGCUGAUAUGUAGGUGAAGUCCCUCGCGGAUGGAGCUGAAAUCAGUCGAAGAUACCAGCUGGCUGCAACUGUUUAUUAAAAACACAGCACUGUGCAAACACGAAAGUGGACGUAUACGGUGUGACGCCUGCCCGGUGCCGGAAGGUUAAUUGAUGGGGUCAGCGCAAGCGAAGCUCUUGAUCGAAGCCCCGGUAAACGGCGGCCGUAACUAUAACGGUCCUAAGGUAGCGAAAUUCCUUGUCGGGUAAGUUCCGACCUGCACGAAUGGCGUAAUGAUGGCCAGGCUGUCUCCACCCGAGACUCAGUGAAAUUGAACUCGCUGUGAAGAUGCAGUGUACCCGCGGCAAGACGGAAAGACCCCGUGAACCUUUACUAUAGCUUGACACUGAACAUUGAGCCUUGAUGUGUAGGAUAGGUGGGAGGCUUUGAAGUGUGGACGCCAGUCUGCAUGGAGCCGACCUUGAAAUACCACCCUUUAAUGUUUGAUGUUCUAACGUUGACCCGUAAUCCGGGUUGCGGACAGUGUCUGGUGGGUAGUUUGACUGGGGCGGUCUCCUCCUAAAGAGUAACGGAGGAGCACGAAGGUUGGCUAAUCCUGGUCGGACAUCAGGAGGUUAGUGCAAUGGCAUAAGCCAGCUUGACUGCGAGCGUGACGGCGCGAGCAGGUGCGAAAGCAGGUCAUAGUGAUCCGGUGGUUCUGAAUGGAAGGGCCAUCGCUCAACGGAUAAAAGGUACUCCGGGGAUAACAGGCUGAUACCGCCCAAGAGUUCAUAUCGACGGCGGUGUUUGGCACCUCGAUGUCGGCUCAUCACAUCCUGGGGCUGAAGUAGGUCCCAAGGGUAUGGCUGUUCGCCAUUUAAAGUGGUACGCGAGCUGGGUUUAGAACGUCGUGAGACAGUUCGGUCCCUAUCUGCCGUGGGCGCUGGAGAACUGAGGGGGGCUGCUCCUAGUACGAGAGGACCGGAGUGGACGCAUCACUGGUGUUCGGGUUGUCAUGCCAAUGGCACUGCCCGGUAGCUAAAUGCGGAAGAGAUAAGUGCUGAAAGCAUCUAAGCACGAAACUUGCCCCGAGAUGAGUUCUCCCUGACUCCUUGAGAGUCCUGAAGGAACGUUGAAGACGACGACGUUGAUAGGUCGGGUGUGUAAGCGCAGCGAUGCGUUGAGCUAACCGGUACUAAUGAACCGUGAGGCUUAACC